rnacentral:lncRNA from 11 species
CAGUGAUCCUUCACUCUUUGGCCAUUACUUUACCUUUUCAGAAUGGGAUCCUUCAGAGAAAUGUGGCAACUGAUGGAUCUUCAGGAAAAAAUGGUCACAAAAAGAAUACUCUUCCAUAUUCUACUGGCAGAAAUAUUUACUGGAUCAAGGGAACUUCUAUCAGCAAAAGAACACCAAUGCCAUACAACCCUGGACUGAAUUAUGGAGACAGAUAUUGCUUUUCUCCUUCUCCAGGCUCCUAUUAAUAGGGAGGCCUAUGUACCUGCCAGAAAGAACAAGUGUGUUGCUCCUCUUGAGGCAACCUCAGAUCCUUAGGAGGCUAGAACAUUGGAACAAUUGCAGUCACCCAGUGCCUUCAUCUAUUAUAGUCACAUACCAGGCUGCUGUUCGUGGACAUGGAAAAGACGGAUAGGUGUGACAGCAUGCCUGUAUACAAUUGCAUUAUCCCCUCAUCAGCUGGGGCCACACACGUGUACCAUUGUACAACACUAGACUCUUUGGAUUCUUUUCAAAUAUCUAUCACCCU